rnacentral:lncRNA from 1 species
GGUUGGUUAGACAUAUUGAUGUGCUGACCUAAUUUAAUCAGUCGGAUGUUAGAUCUAUUGAUUUAAAAUAGAUCUAAACCCAAAUCUUCUCAUUAAAUAUUAAGUCUAGAGGUCUUCCAUUAUUGUAGAGAUGCGGGUGCCUUCUUGACAUUGAUCAUUCUUGGCUGGUUAUAGUGGUUCGAUUGCAUCAGGAAGGUACAACCACUCUAUUGAUAUUUGAUGUCCUGGGGUAGAGAUGGGGUUGGGCCUAAUAACUGUUAGGUGAGGGUUUCAAUGAUGGCUUUGUAUCUGCUAGUGAAUGAUGGGUUUGACUUAACUAAGAAAUGUGCCAAUAACUGUUAGGUGAGGCCACAAGACUUAGAGACCAAGCCCACUACAUCUUGCUUAGUGAAGCAAUGUAUAAAGUGUUAUCCAUUCAUUAGUC